rnacentral:rRNA from 1 species
AUUGAACGCUGGCGGCAGGCCUAACACAUGCAAGUCGAACGAGUGGCGGACGGGUGAGUAAUGUCUGGGAAACUGCCUGAUGGAGGGGGAUAACUACUGGAAACGGUAGCUAAUACCGCAUACCAUCAGAUGUGCCCACAUGGGAUUAGCUUGUUGGGGGGGUAACGGCUCACCAAGGCGACGAUCCAUAGCUGGUCUGAGAGGAGGACCAGGCACACGGGAACUGAGACACGGUCCAGACUCCUACGGGAGGCAGCAGUGGGGAAUAUUGCCAAAUGGGCGCAAGCCUGAUGCAGCCAUGCCGCGUGUAUGAAGAAGGCCUUCGGGUUGUAAAGUACUUUCAGCGGGGAGGCGUGACCCGCAGAAGAAGCAGCGGCUAACUCCGUGCCAGCAGCCGCGGUAAUUC